GACGAACGCUGGCGGCGUGCCUAAUACAUGCAAGUCGAGCGGACUGAAUGGGAGCUUGCUCUUGUUCGGUCAGCGGCGGACGGGUGAGUAACACGUGGGCAACCUGCCCGCAAGACCGGGAUAACUCCGGGAAACCGGAGCUAAUACCGGAUAACACCGAAGACCGCAUGGUCUUUGGUUGAAAGGCGGCGCAAGCUGCCACUUGCGGAUGGGCCCGCGGCGCAUUAGCUAGUUGGUGAGGUAACGGCUCACCAAGGCGACGAUGCGUAGCCGGCCUGAGGGGGUGACCGGCCACACUGGGACUGAGACACGGCCCAGACUCCUACGGGAGGCAGCAGUAGGGAAUCUUCCGCAAUGGGCGAAAGCCUGACGGAGCGACGCCGCGUGAGCGAAGAAGGCCUUCGGGUCGUAAAGCUCUGUUGUGAGGGACGAAGGAGCGCCGUUUGAAGAAGGCGGCGCGGUGACGGUACCUCACGAGGAAGCCCCGGCUAACUACGUG
rnacentral:rRNA from 1 species